CUCAAUAUGUAGCCCAGGAUGACGUUGAACUUCUGAUCUUCUUGCCUCUACCUCUUGAGUGCUGGGAUUGUACAGGUGUGCACAGCCUGUAACUCAUUUAUGUGAUGCUGGGAAUAGAACUCAGGGUCCUGUGCCUACCGGGCAAGUACUCUACCAACUAAGCCACAACUCAAAGCCUUAAUUUUAUGUUUUUGUAAUGCUAGGAAUUGAACCUAGGGCCUCAUGUCUUCUAGGUUAGUGCCCUAUUAUUGAAUGAUGUCCCUAGCCUUUUGUGUUAUUUUAUAGGUAAGAAUAUUGAGGCCAAUUAUAGGCUAAGUAACUUUGCAAGCUUCUGACUAAUGAUUUUAACCCAUCCAUAUCUGGCUUCAGUAUCUACUGUGUGAUCUUGUUGUUUGCCUUUUAUAUUUUAAUAUUGACUCUCAUAGAGCCCAGCUUGGUCUUGAACUCUUGAUCCUCUUACCUCUACCUCCUGAGUGCUGGGAUCGUAAGUGUAUGCCACCAAGCCCAGCUUUCUGUAUGACUUCAGCCUCUCAUUUUGCUGACCUACUGUGAGCCAAAACACUGGCUUGGGUACUGGGGUUUCCCAAAUGAAUAAGACAUACUUCCUGCCUUCAAGCAGCUCAUGGACCAGCCAAAAUGCUCUUGGAAUUUAAGAUAGCUGUGCCACGAUUGCAUUAGAUUGCAGGAAAGCCAGUUCAGACGAAAGGAAAAAAUAGUACCAGGAGACCAGCUGCUCAUUUGCAGAUGUCUCAGGAAUGCCUGUGGGGAUAGAAAAACCACAGAGAGAUAAUAGACCAUGGACCAGUGUAUAGGGGGCAGAAACCACUGACCUGAAAACAAAGCUUCAGUCACUCAGCUGCUGGAUGUCCUGGGAAGCAGGGAGAAGCUUAAUGUUGGCUUUUGUCUCCCCACAGAGCUGCUAUGGGCAGGGCUGGGGCCUGGCUGCUGAGCGGGAAGGCCUGGACUCUCGUCUGGACCUGGCUGCUCCACAUGAGCUUGGGACAGUCCUCUGAUCAGCUGGCACCGUGGAAGAGGGAGAUGGAGCAAGUCUAAGGCUCGAGAUGGUGUGGAUGAAUAGAUGAGUUCUUGACCACUGGUCUGGCUGGCCCUAGCCGAGGCAUUCCCAAGAGAUUUGGUGAGUGUGCAGUGGUGACAACAGGCAUGGACACCCUCUGGCAUCUACGCAGACUUGUUCCGAGGGACUGCCGUGCAGCCUGUGUGGCCUCAGUGCUUGGACAACCGAGGAGCAACAGUGGCUGGAAUGGAUACGAGAGAGGGAAGGAGCAGCAGAACAGAGGAGGAAGACUUGGCUUAAGGGGAGGCCUUGGGAGGCCUUUGAACCGCAAAAGGUGCUUGGUUGGCUGCCUGGAUCUGCAGCUGGAGAAGGCAAGAGAAAGACCCGUGGAUGGGCAGUUGGAAUGGGACAGUGAGCCUGGAGGUCCCCAGGCCCAGACUUGAUUCUGCACACCAUGGCUUUUUCUGCUUCCUGAGCAAGGUAAAAUAAUGACUCCAAAAAUUCCCUGACAUGUUGUACAACACAGUAACUACAUUGCAUCGUGUUCUGAAAUUGCCAAGAGAGUAGAUGCUCAUACCACGAAAAUGAUUAAGUAUAUGAGCCUGGUCGGAGCUCAGCCUUAUUCCCAAGGGUGUAUUCAGACGUUAGCAAAAUGCCAAGCAGAGAAAUGGGAGUGUUUCAUGUCUGGGGAAAGGAACAGACAGAAGACAAAGACAUAAAGAGAAGUUUCUGUUGCGGACGGAGAAAGCCGUUACUGCCUUCAGCUCCAAACACAUAAGCAGUGUGGUGACAGCCUUGGAAGCUUCUGGGCCACCACCUCGCACUUCCUUGGACCUGGACAAAGGAAAAAUACCUGGUUGACCUUGAACUCACUAUGAAGACCAAGCUGAC